rnacentral:lncRNA from 1 species
AAGCGCGUGACAAAAAUGGCACUUUCCCUCUGAAAAUUGCCAUAGACAACAAAAAUGACGACAUGUGUGCAUUGCUGCUUGCAUAUAUGCCAAAUGCAUUAAAACGAUUCUAUCAAUACUUGACUGCUUGAUAGAGACAAGAGGUUCUACCGAUAGGUUGAGAGCAUUUUACGAUCUGCUGGAAUGUGACGAAAAUGGACGGACACCUACAGACAGCAAUUUUAUAGAAAAGUCAAGAUCACCGCUUCAAGUAAUUGCGAAACAAGGAAAUAAGAACAUUGUUUACCAUGACGCAGUGAGGUUGCUUACAAGAAGAAAAUGGAAGCUGUAUGCCAAAAGGAGGUUUGAACUUAAUUCUUUUCUGUAUAUUAUUGGACUGUUUUGUAUCACAUAUU